rnacentral:rRNA from 1 species
UGGGGAAUCUUGCACAAUGGGCGAAAGCCUGACGCAGCAACGCCGCGUGGAGGAUGAAGUCCUUUGGGACGUAAACUCCUUUCGACCGGGAAGAUUAUGACGGUACCGGUGGAAGAAGCCCCGGCUAACUUCGUGCCAGCAGCCGCGGUAAUACGAAGGGGGCUAGCGUUGCUCGGAAUGACUGGGCGUAAAGGGCGCGUAGGCGGUUUGUACAGUCGGGCGUGAAAUUCCUGGGCUCAACCUGGGGGCUGCGCUCGAGACGUAUGGGCUAGAGUUUGGAAGAGGGUCGUGGAAUUCCCAGUGUAGAGGUGAAAUUCGUAGAUAUUGGGAAGAACACCAGUGGCGAAGGCGGCUCACUGGCCCGUUACCGACGCUCAGGCGCGACAGCGUGGGGAGCAAACAGGAUUAGAUACCCUGGUAGUCCACGCCGUAAACGAUGGAUGCUAGCCGUUGGUAAGCAUGCUUAUCAGUGGCGCAGCUAACGCAUUAAGCGUCCCGCCUGGGGAGUACGGCCGCAAGGUUG